GUCGAACGAUGAACCUGGAGCUUGCUCUAGGGGAUUAGUGGCGAACGGGUGAGUAACACGUGAGUAACCUGCCCUUGACUCUGGGAUAACCUCCGGAAACGGAAGCUAAUACCGGAUAUGACGCACGGAGGCAUCUCCUGUGCGUGGAAAGAAUUUCGGUCAAGGAUGGACUCGCGGCCUAUCAGGUAGUUGGUGAGGUAACGGCCCACCAAGCCUACGACGGGUAGCCGGCCUGAGAGGGUGACCGGCCACACUGGGACUGAGACACGGCCCAGACUCCUACGGGAGGCAGCAGUGGGGAAUAUUGCACAAUGGGCGCAAGCCUGAUGCAGCAACGCCGCGUGAGGGACGACGGCCUUCGGGUUGUAAACCUCUUUUAGUAGGGAAGAAGCGAAAGUGACGGUACCUGCAGAAAAAGCACCGGCUAACUACGUGCCAGCAGCCGCGGUAAUACGUAGGGUGCGAGCGUUGUCCGGAAUUAUUGGGCGUAAAGAGCUCGUAGGCGGUCUGUCGCGUCUGCUGUGAAAUCCCGAGGCUCAACCUCGGGCCUGCAGUGGGUACGGGCAGACUAGAGUGCGGUAGGGGAGAAUGGAAUUCCUGGUGUAGCGGUGGAAUGCGCAGAUAUCAGGAGGAACACCGAUGGCGAAGGCAGUUCUCUGGGCCGUAACUGACGCUGAGGAGCGAAAGCGUGGGGAGCGAACAGGAUUAGAUACCCUGGUAGUCCACGCCGUAAACGUUGGGCGCUAGAUGUGGGGACCAUUCCACGGUUUCCGUGUCGCAGCUAACGC
rnacentral:rRNA from 1 species